UGCCAUUUGUGAUUGGUAUCUGCAUGAGCAU
rnacentral:piRNA from 1 species